rnacentral:lncRNA from 1 species
ACUUUGUUUUUGGAGGUAGCCUGUGAUGCAGGGCAGAAAAGAGCUGAUGCCUUGGAGAGAGACUGGGAGAGGCUGGAGUUAAUAGAGGGUCCCAGGGUAUCCAAGAAGCUGUCAUCCAGGUCUUCUCCAAUGAAGCUACAACAACCCACAGAGCCAGCAGGGGAACCUACACCUUCGAUGUCAUAUAUGAGCAAACAGUCAUUAGAUGGGCGUCCUUCAUCUUCAUCUGCAUGGAGUGAAUAUGAUGAUUCUGUGAAGGUUUAUUGCAACAUGACUUUUUCAGCACAGCAACAGGAAAAUUUGACUCUGGGUCUGUUCUACAAAAUUAAAGCUUUCUCAGCACAAAAAACAGCAUAGACUGUGAGUGAUGGCGGCCAUCUUGGUUCAUGUGUAAAGACUGAAUUUCAGUGACUACCAACGGCUAUUUCUUAGAAUGUGGCACUUACCCUGGGUUCAGGCUGUGGUCCUUCUACUGCCCAUGAAUGAAUUGCUCCAUCUGAACAUUCGGGAACAGGCUCAAAGCCAGCUGCACUACGAGGAGCACCUCCACAAUCACAACAGAUCAUCAAAAAUGGGACCACUGGUGGUGGAGGGAUAGUAAUACUAGAGUUAGCACUGGGUGCAAAUAAAAAACAAAACAACCUGAUUUUUUAUGGUUAAAU